UUAUUUGGUCGAUUGAUGUGUUUCUUUUUUAAUCUGACCUUAUCUGCUUAAUUUUGAUUACUUAUAAAUUAAAAGUUUUGGUAACUAGUUGAAAGUUUGUUCUGCAUGAGGACUUAACUUACCAAAACAUCUCAUCUCAUCUCAAAAAAAAUCAACCAAAGCCACACCGCGAAGUCAGUGAGAAAGAACAGAAAUUCUUAUUAUUAUUCACAACUCUAUUGAGAUACAUUAGUAAGAUACAGGGCUAAACAGGUCGUAUAAUCGUUUGUUAAUUGGCAAAUAUUUGGUAUGAUCAGCCGGUCAGCCAAAGAAAGCCCCCGACAAGACGC
rnacentral:lncRNA from 1 species